AUAAACUUUAAUAAUUCUCGUUGAUGAUACAUCACUAUCAAUAUCUUCUAAUUCUUCUUCAUUCUCUCGAAGGAAUUUUUGAUGUCUAUAUCCGGCUCUGGUCCAAUCGUCAAGACAUGCUUGAGCUUCAAGAGAAUCUGGACUCAUUCUUGAUCGAGUUUCAUCUAGUAUUUGACCUCCCAUGUUAAAAGCUCGCUCGAUGGAAACUGUAGAAACGGGUGAAGAAAGAACGUCUUUUGCGAUCAUGGCUAAAAUUGAAUAUUGAGAUUGGUGACUCUUCCACCAAUGAAUGAUUUGAAAGUUAUUUCCUGCAUCUGCAUCACUAAACUCAAAAUUAGUA
rnacentral:sRNA from 1 species